rnacentral:lncRNA from 10 species
ACACACACACACACACACACACAAUGUGCGUUUGGAUUUGCCAGAGAUAACUCAUUUUGCACAUGGGAUAUUAAUUAAACAAAAUAACUUACCACAAACUUUAUGAUACGAAAUACAAACGUUCCAAUUCACUUAAGUACUUAUUUAUGGUAAUUACUUGUUAAGGAAUGCAGAAAAAAAACAUCUAAUUUUAAAGUGGCCUCAUUAAUUGAAAAUCAGUAAAAAAUAAAGGUACAUUUCUAAGAUAAUCCCAGUGAACAGGAAAUAAGUUUAUAGAUGUCCAAUGCACAUAGAUCUGUCAGAAUUCACCUUACUGAAUAGUGGGAUGCAUUGACAAACAUGCUAAAAUUUUUUAAACAGACAAUUAGAGUGCCACCUUUUAUCUAACUCACAUAAAGAGGAAGACAAAUCAUUACACCCAUAUGUACUUUCACAUUCUUACACACUGACAUUUUCGUUUUGAAUACAAUGUGGUUCAUUUUUUAGAAGCAUCGAAAUGUACUUAUACAAUUGAAACUUUUG